rnacentral:rRNA from 1 species
GACGAACCGUGCGAACGUUGUUCGGAAUCACUGGGUUUAAAGGGCGCGUAGGCGGGCUGUCAAGUCGGUGGUGAAAUCUUUCGGCUCAACCGGAAAAUCGCCUUCGAUACUGGCGGCCUUGAGGGAGGUAGGGGCAUGCGGAACUUCCGGUGGAGCGGUGAAAUGCGUAGAUAUCGGAAGGAACACCGAUGGCGAAAGCAGCGUGCUGGACCUUUUCUGACGCUGAGGCGCGAAAGCGUGGGGAGCAAACAGG